rnacentral:rRNA from 1 species
GCCAGCAGCCAUAUCACUCUGCAAUUCCCAGCUGGCAGCCCCACUGGAGCUCAGCAGUGUGAGCCUGGUCAGUACAUGGAUGGGAGACUCCUGGGAAAAAAGGUCGCUGCUGGAA